ensembl:lncRNA MIR100HG mir-100-let-7a-2-mir-125b-1 cluster host gene
GAGAUUUGGUGUAUCGCUUCCUGCCCCCGCCUCCCCUCCCCGCCCCCGUUCUCCGUCCUCUAUUGAAACACCUCGCCCAGCCUAGCGCACUGAGAGCUCUCAUUUUCCCCCCUUGCUCGGGAUGGUGCCACAGGAGGCUGUGCGGGCCCCGCUCCGCUUCGAAUGGAGUGCAGGAAAUUCUACCCCCCAAGUAUGGCACCUUGGCAUGCUGAGUAUUUUAAGCUGAAGGAAACAGAGAAAACCACAGAAGCAGAAAGGUCUUUCUGACCUCUCUUGAAGACCCUCAUGUGACAGGUGUCCUGCCCUACAUCCAGAGAGAAGGAAUGUUCCACAGACAGACUAAGAAGAAUCUGAAGAAUCAGGCCUUACUAAGUGCCCUCCAGUGGAUGCUGUGGGGCACCACCUCCUUGAGGACCAAGGCACUCCAGCUGCCAGGAAUUUGGCUGCUAACCUCACACAGCUGAGCCUUCCAUGAAAAUUGCUCUCUGCCAAAGAGAACUUCCUAGUCCAAGGUCAUGUCUACUCUCCAGAGAUGUGACUGGAGUGAUUUGCACCCGGAUGCCUAGACUCGCCAUCUGCUCAAAGACUGCUCAGAAAGCCCUCCCAUGCAUUCCCCUGCUGCAUACCAGCCCACUCUGCCUGCAGCUGCUGUCUGCAGGACUUCAUAUCUAUGCCACACUGUGUAAAAGCUGUGCUUCAAGAAAUCACAAAAACAUUUUCCUGCACCUACUACACAGCCUGAGUGCGGCAUAAGUUGACCUUGCUUGCUAAGAAAUGGGGCAAGAAAUGCUUUUUUGUGUGUGUCAUGUCUGUUUGUUUUUCAAUUAAGAGAGGAAAGCAUUAGGCAGAUGGAAUGUACAUGUGAGGAUGAGGAGACAGAAAACAAGUAGCCCUUUCCAUCAAGAUAGAGGGUUUUCUGGGGUUGCUGGCUAUUGAAUGUCACUCCUGAUUUCUCUUUCCAAGGCACUGUACCACCAGCCUACUGAGAUUGUGUGGGAGCUUUCAUGGGGGUUGUAUUUCACUGAUGAAAAUAAAUUUUUUGCAUAAUGUGAA